GCCAGAAUGGUAUUGUGGUUUGAGUGUUAGACUACAACACUAGAGACCAGGGUUCGAUUCCCAGAUCGGCCA